UGGUCGGCUCGGGGAUUAGAACCAGCGACCUUUCGGUUACUGGCACAACGCUCUUAACCACUAAGCCACCUGCCGCCGUUUUGAAGCCCAUACGCCAUUUUGAAAAAAACUAUUUUAUAUUAACCCCCCCCAACUCCACUCUCUCUCUGUUAGUUGUUGGGCAGAGUGAACGUCAACUCGUGUCUUCUCCCAGAAAAAGAAACCUUAUUACCUAAAAUAGUGCACUACUUUUGACCAGGGAUCUGGCGAACAGUAGUGCACUAUAUAGGGAAUAGGGUGUGAUUUGGGACGCUUAUCGCCUCUUGCUUUGAGGCGUAGUGUGAGAGAUGUGUACUAGCAUGUUGCUUUGCUACGUGUUCUCACAUGUCUUCAUCUAGGCGUUAAUAAGCACUGCUAAGGUGGUGGUCUAAGGUAGUGGUCUAAGGUAGUGGUCUACGGUAGUGGUCUAAGGUAGUGGUCUAAGGUGGUGGUCUAAGGUGGUGGUCUAAGGUAGUGGUCUAAGGUGGUGGUCUAUGGUAGUGGUCUAUGGUAGUGGUCUAAGGUAGUGGUCUAAGGUGGUGGUCUAAGGUGGUGGUCUAAGGUGGUGGUCUAAGGUGGUGGUCUAAGGUGGUGGUCUAAGGUAGUGGUCUAAGGUAGUGGUCUAAGGCGGUGGUCUAAUGUAGUGGUCUAAGGCGGUGGUCUAAGGCAGUGGUCUAAGGCGGUGGUCUAAGGCGGUGGUCUAAGGCAGUGGUCUAAGGCAGUGGUCUAAGGCAGUGGUCUAAGGUAGUGGUCUAAGGUAGUGGUCUAAGGUAGUGGUCUAAGGUAGUGGUCUAUGGUAGUGGUCUAUGGUAGUGGUCUAAGGCGGUGGUGUAAAUAGUGAAUUGGGUGUGUGUUUAAGAUGGAGCCCAUAGAAGAGAAUGGAACCUGUUCUCUUGCUGUAAGCAGGAAAGGGUUAACACCAGUUUUAACAGUUCAGCUACAGGGGCCUCAGAGGGUCAAAAAGGUUUGGUUAUUCUAAUCUAAAACAUUGAAAGUCAAACAGUUACUAACGUUUUUUUAAUCUUUACGGGGGGUUUGUUAUGUACUCUAAUGGUUGAAUAGUAGAAAGAAAAUUGGAUAUAUAGACGUGUGUGUAUAUAUAUAUAUUAUCCUAAUCUGUAGCUUAAAAUUACUCCAACAUUACUUAUGUUACUUAUAAUGGCACUUUUAGUUACUGCGUUUGUUACCUUUCUGUCUGAAGAUCAGCGCUGGAGCACAAUUUGAAAUGUAAAGGUAAUUUCUGAUUGAGCCGACAUGUGCAGCGUUUAACGUGAAUGGAAUCUCCGCCAGCGUUUACCGUGAAUGGAAUCUCCGCCAACGCAGGAACAUUACCUUUUACAUUUCUAUCACGGUGUAGCGCAGAUCUUCAGGUCUUCAGGUCUUCAGCGCCACAGGUCUUCAGAUCUUCAGCGCUACAGAUCUUCAGGUCUUCAGGUCUUCAGGUCUUCAGCGCUACAGAUCUUCAGGUCUUCAGAUCUUCAGGUCUUCAGCGCUACAGAUCUUCAGGUCUUCAGAUCUUCAGGUCUUCAGCGCUACAGAUUGAAUCGAGUCCUAGGAGCUGGGGUUUUUUUCCCUGUCAGGUUAUCAUGCCAUCAGGAAAAAACUCUGGGCCCAGAAAGAUGUCCGAAAUGGCACCCUAUUCCCUAUAUAUAUAUAUAUAGUGUAGUGCACUACGUCGACCAGUAUGUCAAAAAACUAAAGUAGGUCUGUAGUCCGCGGUAGUGCACUGUAUAGGGAAUAGAGUACCAUUUGGGAAGCACCCUUGUGUGGUGCCAUUGGAGGCCUCUAAUAACACUGUAUUUACCAGUAUUAGUCUGGCAGAGAGCAAGAAAGGGCUUCACCUAUGCACUUUUUACCUCACAAAACUACAAAUAAACAGUAAUACAACA